GAUGAACGCUGGCGGCGUGCCUAAUACAUGCAAGUCGAGCGAACGGACGAGAAGCUUGCUUCUCUGAUGUUAGCGGCGGACGGGUGAGUAACACGUGGAUAACCUACCUAUAAGACUGGGAUAACUUCGGGAAACCGGAGCUAAUACCGGAUAAUACUUUGAACCGCAUGGUUCAAAAGUGAAAGACGGUCUUGCUGUCACUUAUAGAUGGAUCCGCGCUGCAUUAGCUAGUUGGUAAGGUAACGGCUUACCAAGGCAACGAUGCAUAGCCGACCUGAGAGGGUGAUCGGCCACACUGGAACUGAGACACGGUCCAGACUCCUACGGGAGGCAGCAGUAGGGAAUCUUCCGCAAUGGGCGAAAGCCUGACGGAGCAACGCCGCGUGAGUGAUGAAGGUCUUCGGAUCGUAAAACUCUGUUAUUAGGGAAGAACAUAUGUGUAAGUAACUGUGCACAUCUUGACGGUACCUAAUCAGAAAGCCACGGCUAACUACGUGCCAGCAGCCGCGGUAAUACGUAGGUGGCAAGCGUUAUCCGGAAUUAUUGGGCGUAAAGCGCGCGUAGGCGGUUUUUUAAGUCUGAUGUGAAAGCCCACGGCUCAACCGUGGAGGGUCAUUGGAAACUGGAAAACUUGAGUGCAGAAGAGGAAAGUGGAAUUCCAUGUGUAGCGGCGAAAUGCGCAGAGAUAUGGAGGAACACCAGUGGCGAAGGCGACUUUCUGGUCUGUAACUGACGCUGAUGUGCGAAAGCGUGGGGAUCAAACAGGAUUAGAUACCCUGGUAGUCCACGCCGUAAACGAUGAGUGCUAAGUGUUAGGGGGUUUCCGCCCCUUAGUGCUGCAGCUAACGCAUUAAGCACUCCGCCUGGGGAGUACGACCGCAAGGUUGAAACUCAAAGGAAUUGACGGGGACCCGCACAAGCGGUGGAGCAUGUGGUUUAAUUCGAAGCAACGCGAAGAACCUUACCAAAUCUUGACAUCCUUUGACAACUCUAGAGAUAGAGCCUUCCCCUUCGGGGGACAAAGUGACAGGUGGUGCAUGGUUGUCGUCAGCUCGUGUCGUGAGAUGUUGGGUUAAGUCCCGCAACGAGCGCAACCCUUAAGCUUAGUUGCCAUCAUUAAGUUGGGCACUCUAAGUUGACUGCCGGUGACAAACCGGAGGAAGGUGGGGAUGACGUCAAAUCAUCAUGCCCCUUAUGAUUUGGGCUACACACGUGCUACAAUGGACAAUACAAAGGGCAGCGAAACCGCGAGGUCAAGCAAAUCCCAUAAAGUUGUUCUCAGUUCGGAUUGUAGUCUGCAACUCGACUACAUGAAGCUGGAAUCGCUAGUAAUCGUAGAUCAGCAUGCUACGGUGAAUACGUUCCCGGGUCU
rnacentral:rRNA from 1 species